AUAUAAUGUAUAUAGUGACUUUUAAUCAAUUGGUCGCAGGUUCGAGCCGAGCGAAGCGAGACAACAACGCGACUGCGUUGACCCCAAAGGGGCGAGGCCAAAGGCCGAGUCAUCCUGCACGACCCACCA
rnacentral:sRNA from 1 species